CUGUAAUGAUGUUGAUCAAAUAUCUUGCCUGAAAUGAGCCUAUAGACAAAUUUAAUGGAAAAA
rnacentral:snoRNA from 1 species